AGAGGGAUAGCUGGGUCAAAUGGUGGUUCCAUUGUCAGUUUUCCAAGGAUCUCUAUAAUGCUUUCCAUAGUGGCUGCACCAAUUUGCAAUCCCACCAGCAAU
rnacentral:pre_miRNA from 1 species